GCAGCAGCAGGAAGCAGAAUAUUUAUACAUUUAUUUAUAAUGAAAGUAUGGUUCUAAUUAUUUACAAGACAUGGGAAAGCUGAGGUUUGUACAGGUGAGGCUGUCCUGGCUGCAGCAGUGACACAGCCCCUUCUGAAAAGCACAGCUCCUGUCCCAAAAGCUGCCUUGGAGCACCCCUGGUGCAGUUCUUGUCCAAAACAGUCCAAAAUCAAGUCAAAAAACUCAUUUUCAGGUCUGCACAUGAGGCAGGAGCUGCUGGACCCAAAUGCUGCCCUUUGGGAAACCACCCUGCAACCUUCUGGCUCUGGUGGAAUCCAUGAAUGAGGGAAGAUAUAAAGAUGAGUCUCUGAAAAAGGAAUUCCUGCUGGGUGGGAAUGAGUCCUGGGGUGAGCAGAAACAAUUCUGUACCAGGGUUACAGUGCCAAAGUCCAGCUGGGGUAAAGUGAACCUUCCAAAAAUCCAAAAACCUGAGCAUCCCCCCACCCCAACAUCUGGCUGGAACAAAAACUUGUGGGAUUGGUAAAGUCACAUUUCAAAACAAAACCAAGCUGAGUUACAGGAGAUGUUUGAAAUAAAAACAACCAAACGUGAUGCUCAAGUUUUUCACAACUUCUGGAUGUUCCUUCCCUCUGGUGAAAGUCCAAAAUUGAGGCUGAGUCACCAGUAGAUCACUGGGGCUGACAGCAGGAGCACUCAAAAAAUGCAAAUGCAGAGUGAAGUCAGUGUCACUGACUCUUCCCUUUAAAUUAUUUGGGAAAAACAAAAAUAUGGCCCAAGAGGCUUCCCUGGUUCCUCUUUACAGCACUUCUCCCUUGCACAAGGGACUAACCCCAUCAGGAUGCUAUUCCAAAUAUUCCUUUUUAAAAUUGACAAACACACUGCCAAAAUGAGGAUUUUUUUUUUUUUAAAAAACAAUGGAGCCCUUCCAAGGGGAAAUUGGCUUCUGCAAAUGUAAAAACAACACAUCUUUGCCAAGUUCAGUUCUGGAAUAUACAUGCAUUAUUGCUAGAGGGGGAAAAAACCAGAUGAAUGAAAACUUCUUGUGCAGUUUUUAUGGUGCCAUCCAGAAAGGCAUCUGUUGUUUAGCUCUCUGUUGUGAGGAUGGGUAUUGGUACCCCAAACUCCAGCCCUGUGAAAAAGUACUUGCAUUUUUAUGGCCACCAUGUUCCUCCUCUUCAUCUGAUGAAUCUCCAGCAUAAGCCACCAAUCCAAAGCCCUUCUCUGCAGUUUUCAUCUUCUUGGCUUGAUGAUCUAGGAGGGGAAAAACAAAACAAGCCCCACCCAGGCCCCAAAGAAGGAAAAAAAAAUAAAAACAAAACGAACAACAACAACAACAAAAAAAAAAGAGAUAAAAUACCCCAAAACGAGUUAAUAACAAUAAUAAUAAUAAUAAAAAAAAAAAGAUGUUAAUUGUAAAUUGUUAGUUGGACACCAUUUUGAGGUCACAAGGUCAUCCAAGGUCGAUGGUCACAGGAAACAGCAGCAGCAACAGCCAUGUGAUCCACCAGAACCAUGUAAGAGAACAGAGAAACAAGAAAGAAACACACAGAAAAGGUCAAGUUAGCAAAUGGCUCUCAGCCAGGGCAAUUUCACCCUUAAAGAGAUCAACAAAGAAAAGUAGAAAUUUGCUUCAAAAGGCAGCUAACAGCAGAGCAAUGGCUGGGAGCAAAGACUGCAGAAGAACUAGGGUUAACCAGGCUGAGUUCCAUAAUUGCAUUUCUGAGCAAAUUCAAACCUUUGCUGAGCCCCAGGAAAGGUGAAAUCCUGAAUUUCUGAGCCCCAGGAAAGGUGAAAUCCUGAAUUUCUGAGCCCCAGGAAAGGUGAAAUCCUGCAUUUCUGAGCAAAUUCAUCCCAGGAAAGGAGAAAUCAUGCAUUUCUGAGCCCCAAGAAUGGUGAAAUCCUGAAAUUCUGAGCCCCAGGAAAGGUGAAAUCCUGCAUUUCUGAGCAAAUUCAUCCCAGGAAAGGUGAAAUCCUGCAUUUCUGAUUAAAUUCAAACCUUUGCUGAGCCCCAGGAAAGGUGAAAUCCUGCAUUUCUGAGCCCCAAGAAUGGUGAAAUCCUGAAUUUCUGAGCAAAUUCAUCCCUGGAAAGGUGAAAUCCUGAAUUUCUGAGCCCCAUGAAAGAUGAAAUCCUGCAUUUCUGAGCCCCAAGAAUGGUGAAAUCCUGAAUUUCUGAGCCCCAGGAAAGGUGAAAUCCUGAAUUUCUAAGCCCCAGGAAAGGUGAAAUCCUGCAUUUCUGAGCAAAUUCAUCCCAGGAAAGGUGAAAUCCUGCAUUUCUGAGCAAAUUCACCCCAGGAAAGGUGAAAUCCUGAAAUUCUGAGCCCCAGGAAAGGUGAAAUCCUGCAUUUCUGAGCCCCAGGAAAGGUGAAAUCCUGAAUUUCUGAGCAAAUUCACCCCAGGAAAGGUGAAAUCCUGAAUUUCUGAGCAAAUUCAUCCCAGGAAAGGUGAAAUCCUGCAUUUCUGAGCCCCAGGAAAGGUGAAAUCCUGCAUUUCUGAGCAAAUUCAUCCCAGGAAAGGUGAAAUCCUGCAUUUCUGAUUAAAUUCAAACCUUUGCUGAGCCCCAGGAAAGGUGAAAUCCUGCAUUUCUGAGCCCCAAGAAUGGUGAAAUCCUGAAUUUCUGAGCCCCAGGAAAGGUGAAAUCCUGCAUUUCUGAGCAAAUUCAUCCCAGGAAAGGAGAAAUCCUGCAUUUCUGAUUAAAUUCAAACCCUUGCUGAGCCCCAGGAAAGGUGAAAUCCUGCAUUUCUGAGCCCCAAGAAUGGAGAAAUCCUGCAUUUCUGAGCAAAUUCAAACCCUUGCUGAGCCCUAGGAAAGGAGAAAUCCUGCUUUGUACUUCAACACAGAACAACCAAAAAAAAAAAAAUAUUCACCUGUUAAAACCAGCACCAGCUCAUUUGGGAAAGGGAACUGGAUUUUAGGAAUGUUUGGGGAAAGAAAAUUGGAUUUACAGAAGUGUUUGGGAAAAGAAAAUGGAUUUACAGGGGUGUUUGGGAAAAGAAAAUGGAUUUACAGGGUAGUUUGGGGAAAGAAACUGGAUUUUAGGGAUGUUUGGGA